UACGUAGGGGGCAAGCGUUGUCCGGAUUUAUUGGGCGUAAAGAGCGUGUAGGCGGCUAGGUAGGUCCGUUGUGAAAACUCGAGGCUCAACCUCGAGACGUCGAUGGAAACCAUCUGGCUAGAGUCCGGAAGAGGAGAGUGGAAUUCCUAGUGUAGAGGUGAAAUUCGUAGAUAUUAGGAAGAACACCAGUGGCGAAGGCGGCUCACUGGCCCGGUACUGACGCUGAGGCGCGGAAGCGUGGGGAGCAAACAGG
rnacentral:rRNA from 1 species